rnacentral:rRNA from 1 species
UACGGAGGGGGCUAGCGUUGUUCGGAAUUACUGGGCGUAAAGCGCGCGUAGGCGGCUUUGUAAGUUAGAGGUGAAAGCCCGGAGCUCAACUCCGGAAUUGCCUUUAAGACUGCAUCGCUAGAAUCAUGGAGAGGUGAGUGGAAUUCCGAGUGUAGAGGUGAAAUUCGUAGAUAUUCGGAAAGAACACCAGUCGGCGAAGGCGACUCACUGGUCCGGUACUGACGCUGAGGUGCGAAAGCGUGGGGAGCAAACAGG